CACCUGGUGAUAUAGAUAGCAUACAUGAGAUGGUACGGUUUAGGUGCUGCCAAAGUCAUAAUGGGAUGCUGAGCUAGGGAAUACCCGUGAUGUUAAAGCACUCGUGCGCAGUUGAUCUCUUGAGCUCAACUUCAGCAUUAAAGCAGUGCGGCCUUGUCAGAAUUUUCUGGCCCUUCCCAGCAGCCGAGUUACCUUGCUGUGCUGCCGCUUCACUUCAUCAGCCUAAAUAGAAACAGCAGAGCCGAUCGAGAUGGGGUUUUAAAACGCGUUUAAAUACAAGCGGCUGGUCCCCCUCUUGCCUCAUCUCUCCCUAUUCAGCCGCUUUCCCCCCCGGCAGCAGCCGGCUGCUAUGGGCUGCAGAGCCACCUGCCGGCAUCACCUCUUCCCCGCAGCUGCAGUCUGCCUCCUCCUCUGUGCUCGCUGCUGCUUUUCUCCAAUCUCCCCUUUUUUGUUUCGUUUUGCUGAUUGCAGCCCCGCUGCCGUUCGGAGCUAUUUGCGUGGCAGCCGCCAGGGGGAGAACUCUCCGCUCCCUCGUAGCCCUCAACGACGAGGUGGAAGAAAGCAGCGGACGGGGCGGGGAUGGGCCGCUGCUGCCAGAGCCUGAGAGGAAGAGGGGAGUUCAGGCUCAGUUUUAACCAUAAACAUACUGUGCAGGGUACCAAAGGAACAAAGCCUGGCUAACUAAAGGCUAUGUGGCAAAUAAAAGAUGCCAGCAGGAUGAGAUGUCAUGGUUCUGUUCUGCAGAUCAUUCCAAGUGAACUGCUAUUAACACCAUGUGAAGGGU